UGGGCUUCAAUGGACUUUAGUCAUUUGAAACCUCAUAGUUUUGUCCUUUAAAAGGGGCUUCAGACCUUAGUCAUUUGGAGCCUCAUAGUUUUGCCCUUUAAAAGGUGCCUCACAGAAAAGAGAGAGAAGAUUCCAAUCCAAUCCAUAUAAGCCAUACUCUCUUUUGACUCACAGUCAAUAUGGGACUAAAGAUGCGGUCC
rnacentral:lncRNA from 1 species